rnacentral:tRNA from 1 species
UCCCCGGUAGCUCAGUGGUAGAGCAAGCGGCUGUUAACCGUUAGGUCAAAGGUUCGAGUCCUUUUCGGGGAGCCA